rnacentral:rRNA from 1 species
GACGUAGGGCGCGAGCGUUGUCCGGAUUUAUUGGGCGUAAAGAGCUCGUAGGCGGCUUGUCGCGUCGAAUGUGAAAUCUCAGGGCUCAACUCUGACAUUGCAUUCGAUACGGGCAGGCUAGAGUUCGGUAGGGGAGACUGGAAUUCCUGGUAUAGCGGUGAAAUGCGCAGAUAUCAGGAGGAACACCGGUGGCGAAGGCGGGUCUCUGGGCCGAUACUGACGCUGAGGAGCGAAAGCGUGGGGAGCGAACAGG